rnacentral:rRNA from 1 species
CAAUAGCGUAUAUUUAAGUUGUUGCAGUUAAAAAGCUCGUAGUCGGAUUUUGGCUGAGAACGAACUGUCCGCCGUUAGGUGUGCACUGUUUGGUCUCAGCUUCCUGGUGAGGAGGUGUGCUUCACGGCCACUUAGUCACCGUGGUUACUUUGAAAAAAUUAGAGUGUUCAAAGCGGGCUUACGCUUGAAUAUAUUAGCAUGGAAUAACACCAUAGGACUCCUGUCCUAUUUCGUUGGUCUCGGGACGGGAGUAAUGAUUAAGAGGAACAGUUGGGGGCAUUCGUAUUUCAUUGUCAGAGGUGAAAUUCUUGGAUUUAUGAAAGACGAACUUCUGCGAAAGCAUUUGCCAAGGAUGUUUUCAUUGA